rnacentral:tmRNA from 1 species
GGGGAUGACAGGUUUCGACGGGGCAGGCUGGCAAUAGGUUGCAAGCCGAGGUGCUCCUACCUCGUUAAUCCGGAGCAAAACCCAAAAAGUGCCAAGAAUACUGGCAAGGCGUUCAACUUUGUCCCGCGUCACACGGCUCAGGCCGCUAUGGCGCUGGCCGCGUAAGCGGGAACAAAGCCGCCGAAACCGAUCGCUGAAAGGUGAUCGCGGUUCCCCAGGGUGGUUCUCGCUGGCUCUGGGAGAGCUGUCAUAAACAGUGAAGAUGCGGUUGGCCUGACGCCGAUAAGGUCAGCCUAAGAGGUCUCCUGGCGGAGGCCGUCGGCUAGCCCGACAAUGGGAUGCGGUCGCUGGCAGCCCGUCGGGCGAAACAUCCAAAGCAGCGACUAAGCUUGUAGAUACCUGUUGUCGAAUGUCUCGGACCCGGGUUCGAUUCCCGGCAUCUCCACCU